rnacentral:tRNA from 1 species
UGAGUCGUUGACUAAUUGGUAAGUCCGUUGAUUUUGAGUCAAUUUAUACUAGUUCGAACCUAGUCGAUUCAA